GAUGAAGAACGUAGCGAAAUGCGAUAAGUAAUGCGAAUUGCAGAAUUCCAGUGAGUCAUCGAAUCUUUGAACGCACAUUGCACCUCUCGGUAUUCCGGGAGGUAUGCCUGUUCGAGCGUCAUUUGUACCCUCAAGCUCUGCUUGGUGUUGGGUGUUUGUUCCGCCUCUGUGUGUGAACUCGCCUCAAAACAAUUGGCAGCCGGCGUACUUGUUUCGGAGCGCAGCACAUUUUGCGAUCCAGAUCAACGUACAGCGGCAUCCAAGAAGCCUUAUUUAACGCUCUUGACCUCGGAUCAGGUAGGGAUACCCGCUGAACUUAAGCAUAUCAAUAAGCGGAGGA
rnacentral:misc_RNA from 1 species